rnacentral:piRNA from 1 species
UUCUUUUCUGAUUGGUCAGCUGCGAAU